AGAUAGACGUCAAAAUUAAAAGUGAUCUAUUAAAUUAAAUUGGCUCAACUAUAAGUUGUUUUAUAUUAUAUGAUAUAUGUAAAUAAAAUACAAACAAGUGCUUUGUGAAAUUGCGCUCGCAUAUAUUUUAUAUAGGUACUAUUUAUAGAUUUUAUACAUAUUAUCUAUCAGUACCUAUGUUACGCCGUCUUUCAAGAGUUCAAAUAAGCAAAUAGCGUAAUUGCGUAUAGGAGUUAGGGGUUAACUUUUAGAAAACAUGAAGUUAAAUGGAAAUAAGGUGUUAGUACUCGAUGGUGGUUUCUCGUCACAGAUUUCAUGUCACGUUGGCACCAACGCAGAUGGCGAUCCACUGUGGAGUGCAAAAUUCUUGAAAACAAACGCUGAAGAUGUGUACCAAACUCAUUUGGAUUAUCUUCGCGCCGGUGCUGACGUAAUAACCACCAACACUUACCAAGCAUCUGUAGGAGGUUUUGUGAAACAUCUUGGCGUAUCUACAGAAGAAGCGACGGAACUGAUUAGACUAGCUGUGAAAUUGGCGAGGCGUGCUUGUGAUACUUACUUAGAGGAAAACAGUCAACCAUUGUCGAACCCAAGUCCACUCAUAGCGGGUUCAGUAGGUCCCUACGGUGCACAUUUAAAUGACGGGUCCGAAUAUCGUGGCAAUUAUGCAGAUAUAGUAUCUAGUGAGACAAUACGAGAAUGGCAUAUUCCUCGUAUAAAUGCUUUGUUAGAAGCAGGUGUGGAUUUACUUGCUAUAGAGACAAUACCAUGUCUUAAAGAGGCCCAAGUACUUGUUGAGCUGUUGAAGGAAUACCCCAAAGCCAAAGCUUGGCUUUCAUUCAGUUGUAGCGAUGAUAAAAGACUUGCUCAUGGGGAGGAUUUUGAAAUGGCUGCAGUACAAUGCUGGCAGGCUAACCCUACUCAACUGAUAGCUGUAGGAGUUAAUUGUUGCCCCCCUAAUAUUGUCUCAAACCUUGUAAAGAGCAUAAAUAAAAACAGAGAAGAACCCAUUCCCUUUGUGACAUAUCCUAACUCUGGAGAGAAAUAUAUCCCAGAUAUGGGAUGGACAGACAAAGAUAAAAGUGAAUCCAUUGAUAAAUUUGUCCACGAGUGGCUCAAGCUUGGUGUACAGUACAUUGGGGGAUGCUGUCGAACAUAUCAAGAUGAUAUUUCUCAAAUUAGGAAACUAGUGAAUUUGUCAUUUUAAUUGAUCACCAAUUUGUUUACUUUUAGUAACACUAAGAAUUAAUUUUAAAAAAAUUAUAUAUAAAACAUAUAGUAAACAAGUAAUGAAUAACAAAUAUGGGUAUAAAAUUACAUUAAAAUAUUUGGAAUAUCAUUAAGAAAGAGAGAGAGAGAUGAUGAAGUUGAAAAACUUUCUAAUGAAAAUGCAGAAAUAAAAAAUGGCAAUCUCAAAUUAAAUAUAGAAAUGAUGAGACUGAAAAAGACUAUUAGUGAGUUGCAACAAGAAAAAUUCUCCGACUACGUGACGUUAAUGAAAGAGAGGGACGGCCGCUACUCGCUGUACCAUCAGAAAUUGCAAUUGGAAGAGCAAGUGAGGCAGCUGACGCGCAGCCCCGCCAGCGACCGCCAAGAGGAGGACCCCUUGCUGCUGCGCCUCGCGCUCCGCUGCUGCAGGGAGCAGCUGGCGGCGGCGCAGCGCGAGCUGGCGCGGCUGGCUGACGAGUGCGCCGACACCGUGCCGCGCCGCGACUACGACGCGCUGGAAGCCCGCGAGCGUCUCCUCCGCAGGGACCUCGAACAGACCGCCAAGGAGUACCGCGCCCUCGAGAACUGCUACAAUCGCGCACAAGGUACGCGCGUAUAAACUCACCAACUAGUAGAACCGGACUGUUGACUGGACGAGCUGCUUAACUCCAUAAAGAAGAGAAGAAAACGAAAAAGCCAUGGUACGGUGUUCGCAGAGUUUUGUAUCGUAACCAGGAUUUACCUGAUAAAACGUUUUACUAAGG